GGAUUUAUUGGGUUUAAAGGGUGCGUAGGUGGUGAUUUAAGUCAGCGGUGAAAGUUUGUGGCUCAACCAUAAAAUUGCCGUUGAAACUGGGUUACUUGAGUGUGUUUGAGGUAGGCGGAAUGCGUGGUGUAGCGGUGAAAUGCAUAGAUAUCACGCAGAACUCCGAUUGCGAAGGCAGCUUACUAAACCAUAACUGACACUGAAGCACGAAAGCGUGGGGAUCAAACAGGAUUAGAUACCCUGGUAGUCCACGCAGUAAACGAUGAUUACUAGGAGUUUGCGAUACAAUGUAAGCUCUACAGCGAAAGCGUUAAGUAAUCCACCUGGGGAGUACGCCGGCAACGGUGAAACUCAAAGGAAUUGACGGGGGCCCGCACAAGCGGAGGAACAUGUGGUUUAAUUCGAUGAUACGCGAGGAACCUUACCCGGGUUUGAACGUAGUCUGACCGGAGUGGAAACACUCUUUCUAGCAAUAGCAGAUUACGAGGUGCUGCAUGGUUGUCGUCAGCUCGUGCCGUGAGGUGUCGGCUUAAGUGCCAUAACGAGCGCAACCCUUAUCACUAGUUACUAACAGGUGAAGCUGAGGACUCUGGUGAGACUGCCAGCGUAAGCUGUGAGGAAGGUGGGGAUGACGUCAAAUCAGCACGGCCCUUACAUCCGGGGCGACACACGUGUUACAAUGGCAUGGACAAAGGGCAGCUACCUGGUGACAGGAUGCUAAUCUCCAAACCAUGUCUCAGUUCGGAUCGGAGUCUGCAACUCGACUCCGUGAAGCUGGAUUCGCUAGUAA
rnacentral:rRNA from 1 species